GACGAACGCUGGCGGCGUGCUUAACACAUGCAAGUCGAACGGAAAGGCCCUGCUUUUGUGGGGUGCUCGAGUGGCGAACGGGUGAGUAACACGUGAGUAACCUGCCCUUGACUUUGGGAUAACUUCAGGAAACUGGGGCUAAUACCGGAUAGGAGCUCCUGCUGCAUGGUGGGGGUUGGAAAGUUUCGGCGGUUGGGGAUGGACUCGCGGCUUAUCAGCUUGUUGGUGGGGUAGUGGCUUACCAAGGCUUUGACGGGUAGCCGACCUGAGAGGGUGACCGGCCACAUUGGGACUGAGAUACGGCCCAGACUCCUACGGGAGGUAGCAGUGGGGAAUAUUGCACAAUGGGCGGAAGCCUGAUGCAGCAACGCCGCGUGCGGGAUGACGGCCUUCGGGUUGUAAACCGCUUUCGCCUGUGACGAAGCGUGAGUGACGGUAAUGGGUAAAGAAGCACCGGCUAACUACGUG
rnacentral:rRNA from 1 species